GUGUUGUCCUGACACCUGUUGCUUCGGCGGGCCCGCCGUGGUUCACGCCCCGGCCGCCGGGGGGUUCACGCCCCCGGGCCCGCGCCCGCCGAAGACCCCUGGAACGCUGCCUGGAAGGUUGCCGUCUGAGUAUACAAUCAAUCAAUUAAAACUUUCAACAACGGAUCUCUUGGUUCCGGCAUCGAUGAAGAACGCAGCGAAAUGCGAUAAGUAAUGUGAAUUGCAGAAUUCCGUGAAUCAUCGAAUCUUUGAACGCACAUUGCGCCCCCUGGCAUUCCGGGGGGCAUGCCUGUCCGAGCGUCAUUGCUAACCCUCCAGCCCGGCUGGUGUGUUGGGCCGCCGUCCCCCCUCCCCGGGGGACGGGCCCGAAAGGCAGCGGCGGCGUCGCGUCCGGUCCUCGAGCGUAUGGGGCUCUGUCACACGCUUCAGUAGAACCGGCCGGCUUGCUGGCCAUCACCUAUAUUUUUCUCUUAGGUUGACCUCGGAUCAGGUAGGGAUACCCGCUGAACUUAAGCAUAUCAAUAGCCGGAGGAAUCAUUACCGAGUGAGGGUCCUCGGGGCCCAACCUCCCAUCCGUGUUGUCCUGACACCUGUUGCUUCGGCGGGC
rnacentral:rRNA from 1 species